rnacentral:misc_RNA from 1 species
CCAAUAGCGUAUAUUAAAGUUGUUGCAGUUAAAAAGCUCGUAGUUGAAUUUCGGGAUUGACGUGACGGUCAUGCCUUAAGGGGUAUGAACUGUUACUGUUGAUUUCUCACCUUCUGGAGAAACUUGAUGUCCUUUAUUGGGUGUCUUGCGGAUCCAGGACCUUUACCUUGAAAAAAUUAGAGUGUUUAAAGCAGGCAUUUUUGCUCGAAUACAUUAGCAUGGAAUAAUAGAAUAGGACGGCAUGGUUCUAUUUUGUUGGUUUCUAGGAUCACCGUAAUGAUUAAUAGGGAUAGUUGGGGGCAUUAGUAUUCAAUUGUCAGAGGUGAAAUUCUUGGAUUUAUUGAAGACUAACUACUGCGAAAGCAUUUGCCAAGGAUGUUUUCAUUAAUCAAGAACGAAAGUUAGGGGAUCGAAGACGAUCAGAUACCGUCGUAGUCUUAACCAUAAACUAUGCCGACUAGGAAUCAGACGAUGUUAAUUUUUUAAUGACUCGUUUGGCACCUUCG